ACGGAAGGCAGCAGUGGGGAAUAUUGGGCAAUGGGCGAAAGCCUGACCCAGCAGCGCCGCGUGAAGGAAGACGGUCUUCGGAUUGUAAACUUCUUUUAGGAGGGACGAAGGACGUGACGGUACCUCAUGAAUAAGCCACGGCUAACUACGUGCCAGCAGCCGCGGUAAUACGUAGGUGGCGAGCGUUAUCCGGAUUUACUGGGUGUAAAGGGCGCGUAGGCGGGGAUGCAAGUCAGAUGUGAAAUCCAUGGGCUCAACCCAUGAACUGCAUUUGAAACUGUAUCUCUUGAGUGCUGGAGAGGUAGACGGAAUUCCUAGUGUAGCGGUGGAAUGCGUAGAUAUUAGGAAGAACACCAGUGGCGAAGGCGGUCUACUGGACAGUAACUGACGCUGAGGCGCGAAAGCGUGGGGAGCAAACAGGAUUAGAUACCCUGGUA
rnacentral:rRNA from 1 species